rnacentral:lncRNA from 1 species
CGCGCGCAUCCACCUACCCGUCCUUAUCCUCUCUCCUCCUCCCUCCUCCCUCCAUAUCUAGCCCUCUCUUCCUUCCUAGUCCCUCCAAAUCCAACACCUCCUCCCUCGGAUCCACAGGCGGCAGCACUCGCGAGCGAUCGGAGGAGAGGGCGGCGGCGAGCUUGGGGCGCGGGCGGCAUGCUCGGGCGUGGGCGAUAGCGCUCGGGUGCGGGCGACGCAGGAGAGUGCGGCGGCGAGCUCGGGGCGUGGGUGGCGAGGUCGGGCGUGGGCGGCGGCGCUCGGGCACGGGUGACGGAGGAGAGGACGGCACGAGGUCAGGCGUAGGCGGCCCGGGCGGCGGCGCUCGGCGACAGGGAGGCGCGAGGCACCGGAUCCGGCGACGGGGAGGUGCGAGGCGGCGGAUCCGGCGACGGAAAGGCGCGAGGCGGUGGAUCCGGCGACAGGGAGGCGUGAGGCGACAUAUCCACAGGUCUCUCUCCCCCACUCCUCACUCCUCCCCAUUCCCCGCCGCCACCACCCCCUCUCCCUCUCUCAAAUCUAGCGUUGCGUGGCUUUGCAGCGGCGGUGGCGAGGCGGAGAAGGUGGAGGUCGCCGAGGCUCGGCAGCAGGGUCGUCGAGGCGGUAGAGGUCGCCGGGGCUCGGCAGCACUGCAGCAGCGUCGUCGAGGCGGAGGCGGUUGAGGCCGACGGGGCUCGGUAGUGGCGACGGUGAUGGUGGAUGGGACUUCAAGGAUGACGACGCCGGCGACGGCGGUUCUCUGUAUUUGUGAUGCUUGUAAUAUUUGUGAUGAUAUUUGUGAAGCAUUGUAUUUGGAUUGAUGCUUGGUGUUCAAAUUUUUUGUUAAAUGUGUGGAUAUUUUUUAUGCUUGAAUGCUUGGGAGAAUGGAAAUUUUUAGCUGUAAAUUUUUCAUGUAAAUUUAUGUGUGGAUGGAGUUCUGAUGGAGGUAGACGGAGCAGUGUUUUUUUUAAUAUAGUUUUGCUUUUCAAAUUUCCGCCUCUUCGCUGGCGGCUAGGGCAG